AUUACAUCUAAACAGUUUGUUAUACAGCAGAGUCACCUUAUUCAAGUCGUAACUGAUCUAAUCAAGUUACCGAAUUGAAUAGAAAAGUCGACUUACUGCUGGUAGGGCAGUCAGCAGAAAAUUUUACUACACAAGAAGACAAUGCAGAAAUUACAAUUUUAUUGGCAAGUCUACCAGUAAAGGAUGAUGCAAGUUUCGAAGAUUUUAAUAACAAGUUAAAGACAAACCAGAAUAAACAGGCAGUUGUAUGUAGAAAGAAAAAUAUAUCAAUGCAUGUCAAAUUUUGCAAUUGUUAAAUCCAAUUUAAUUUUUUCAGAUGAAAUUGUUGGUUGGUAUUGGUGGCAGAGGCCUCCGUAGUCUCACUACUAAUAUAUUAAGAAGAAUAUUACUAGACGAUGUGGCAGAAUUAUAUUCCAUAACUGGAAAAACAAUGAAAAAUUCUCACAAAAAAAUCGUUUCUACAAACAGAAACAUUCCAAGUAAUUUUUCGUAAGUAUAUUUUUACUUUUUAGUAAGUGGCGCAAAGGAGAAAAGGCCUAUCUAUACCCAGCAGUGGAAAUCUGCAAAAAAGUCUACGAAGAUGUGACUGAAAAUGGACUUAAAGAAAUAAUAAGCGAUUGGCUAAAUCAAGCGAAAGGUAGAAUAUCAAGAAGAGCAGAGAGACAAAAAAAGGAGUGAAAAUGAAAAAUCUUGCAUUAAAAUCAUCUUGGACACAAAAUUGUUCAGUCGAACCCGACCAACCAAACUAGUCCGACGACCAACCCUACAAUACCGAUCAACCCGACCAAGAAAUAGAAAUAAAAAAUAAAUAAAUGU